rnacentral:lncRNA from 1 species
GGGAUGGCUCCUGCGGUGGGCUCUGCAGGAGUUUAAUUUGGUUUUUCACGAUGCUGCCGAGGAAGCAGUGGAAAAGAGCUGCUUGAAAGUGUGAAUGGAUACCCACGGGAAAUCAUACAUGAUGACCACGCUGACUCAAGCCUCUCGGUUGCAAAGUGGAAGCCGUCUGCAGAAAGAAAGGAAAUAGCAAUUACAGAGCAGGAUUUCAGCUGGAGUCUUUCCUUGAACCUCUGAGGGUCUAAGAAGGAGGCGGAGAUGCUUGAUAAGCUCUGUCUGAGAUUCUCGCCUUGUGAUGUCUCCCACGAAAGCCCUCAGAGAAUCUUCACGGAGAAAAUUGCUGUCGCCGUUUCGGUAAUAGGUUUAUGUGAAGGGUAGCAGCUAGAGAACGCAAAUUCCCUGUGGGGACUCAGUGUCAGAUACCAUUAGUUAGUAACCCAGUAUCUGUCCGCUCUUCUCCCUGGCUCACAAAAGCUUGGUUUUUCUUCAGGAUGGCAAUACGUUAACCCCUGGGGCAACGUCUCAUGCUCAGACAACCUCCUGGACCCAACCUUCCUUCCACUUAGGGGAUGGGGCUGGCCCUGAGUCCCAGCCCUGGCCAAGGAGGCUUAAGCAGAAGCCGGCAAGGGUGUGUCUGGGAAAGCUUUUGCUUUCUGAUGAAAGGAGAGAGAACAUCACUUCCUCGGCCUCCUCUGCUUCUUCCCACCCAAAUGCAGUAUGAUCUACAGACCCUCCAUCCCAUGAGCAGCCAUCUCCAGCCCAUGAGGACACAAGCACCACAGACUAACUCUGCAUUAAAAGAAACAGAGAUGAAGACAGAGGAGCCUGGGUUUCUUGGAGCUUCUCAACCGAUGCUAUCAAUUAUCCAUUUCUGGAUUUGCUGUUCUAGGAGUAAAAUUGGCCCCUCUCUGCUUAAGCUUUUUGCUGAGUUUUCUGUAACCUGCCAUCAAGUGUUCUUCUCCAGCUAAGGUGAAAGAAGGGAAUGGAAGGAGUCUGACAGCCACGCAGCAUAAGAACACACAGGAGAGAGGCCAGGAGGAGGCUGAUCCUUUCAGUGGGA